AGCAGCCGCGGUAAUUCCAGCUCCAAUAGCGUAUAUUAAAGUUGUUGCAGUUAAAAAGCUCGUAGUUGAAUUUCGGGGCCAGUAGGUUGGUCGUGCCACUGGUAUGUACUGGCCUUACUGGUCCCUCCUUCUUGUAGAACCGUGAUGCCAUUAAUUUGGUGUUGCGGGGAAACAGGACUGUUACUUUGAAAAAAUUAGAGUGGUUAAAGCAGGCUCGCGCUUGAAUACAUUAGCAUGGAAUAACGGAAUAGGGCGAUCGAACCUAUUUGUUGGUUUCUAGGAUCGACGUAAUGAUUAAUAGGGAUAGUUGGGGGCAUUAGUAUUCAAUUGUCAGAGGUGAAAUUCUUGGAUUUAUUGAAGACUAACUACUGCGAAAGCAUUUGCCAAGGAUGUUUUCAUUAAUCAAGAACGAAAGUUAGGGGAUCGAGGACGAUCAGAUACCGUCGUAGUCUUAACCAUAAACUAUGCCGACUAGGGAUCGGAUGAAGUUAAUUUUUAAUGACUCAUUCGGCGCCUUACG
rnacentral:rRNA from 1 species